UCUCACGGGGGACAAUGCCAC
rnacentral:siRNA from 1 species